GUGUAUUUGCUUAAGCUUACGCAAUUGGUCAUCAACAGUGUGACGUCACAGUACCUUUGGCUGCUGAGCAUGGCUCAUGACUUCAAACUAUGUGGAGCAGAAUCCUUGGUGGUCCUGUAAUCCGAGCAGCUUCGUGUUGGAGGAGUCUGUACACCAUGCAACUAAAGAGCAGCCAGUUCCAGUCUCUCUUCACUGACGGACUUAAUGGACUCGUAGAGCUGUUUGGAAAGCACAACUAUGAGCUGAGGAUAGCUGGAGGUGCAGUGCGGGACCUGCUGUCUGGGAAACGUCCAGAAGACGUGGACUUUGCCACAACGGCAACCCCUGAGGAGAUGAAGCGGAUGUUCCAAGCUGCUGGGAUCAGGAUGAUCAACAAUAAAGGGGAAAAGCACGGGACCAUUACAGCGAGGAUACACAAUGAGAACUUUGAGGUGACCACCUUACGUGUGGACGUUCAGACAGAUGGCCGUCACGCAGAGGUUGAAUUUACCACGGACUGGCUGAAAGAUGCUGAGAGGAGAGACCUCACCAUCAACUCCAUGUUUUUAGGUCUUGACGGCACACUGUACGACUAUUUCAAUGGAUACGAGGACCUGCAAAACCGUGAAGUUCAAUUUGUCGGCAGUGCAGAGCAAAGAAUCCAGGAGGACUAUCUCAGAAUACUGCGUUAUUUCAGGUUCUAUGGCAGAGUGGCUUUAGAACCUAAAUGCCAUGAACCACAGACACUGACGGCCAUCAGGGAAAACGGCCACGGGUUGGCUCAGAUUUCAGGAGAAAGAAUUUGGGUAGAACUCAAAAAGAUCGUUGUUGGAAACCAUGCUGCUCACCUGCUGGAGCUCAUGUACCAGCUGGGUCUGGCCCAAUAUAUAGGUUUGCCACUAGAUGGCAAUGUUGAGGAGAUGAAACAAGUGUGGCAGAGGGCUAAAGACCACUCUCCAAAACCCAUGACCACGCUGGCUGCCCUGUUCAACUAUUUGCAGGACGUGGAAAAGAUGGACCUCCGUCUAAAAGUCUCCAAAGAGGAGAAGAAUCUGGUAGCAUUUCUGAUCAAGUACAGACGUGAGCUCUGCAAAGAUAAAGACAAACCCGACAGCCUCAAACCGUUCACCGACUUCAUCAUUGAUAAUCGUGAGCUGGAUACUCAGAGCAAAGUCUGUGAGCUGCUGAAGUAUCAAGGUGAAAAGAAGCUGCUAGAAGAGCUCUGCAGAUGGACCGUACCUCGGUUUCCCGUCAGUGGCCAUGAUCUACGGAAACUGGGAGUCACGUCGGGCAAAGACAUCGGCGCCACCUUACAGAAUCUCCGGGACAUUUGGAAGAAAAGUCAUUACCAGCUGGACAAAGAUGAACUCCUGAGUUAUGUAAAGCUGUAAACGGACACAAAUACAAAGACCACUUAAAUCCUGAUUAUGUGCUUUCCCAUCACAGCUGUCACAAAAUGACAAGGCGGCUGAUUAGACACGUGUGUUACCAUGAAGCCCAGCUGCCUGCGUAAGGCGCGCUGACAAACGGCUAGAAUUACUGAGAUGCACAGCCAUUUUAAAAAUCAAAUGCUUAUUUAUUCACUUGAUGGACAAGUGGGAUGGAUUAGGUGUGUAUGGGAAUUUAGUUUGACAAUAUAUUAUUGAAGAAAACGUGUGGUCUGAAAAUCAAAAGGAAUGAAAAAGAGAGUUGAGUUAUUAGAUUUAUUUUAGGUUUUAAAGAGAACUUCUGUUUUUUGUUUUGUUUUUUUCAAAAAGUGGCUCUGACAAGAGUUGUCCAGAACAGCUGUAAUUAUAAAAAAAAAUGCACCCUAACCCGAUGGGGGUCUUUCUGUUGUGGUACUUUCAUAUAAAUGCUCAAAAUAUGUUUGCAAGUAGACUAAAACAUUGUCAGCUCAGUGGUAGAGGUAUUUCUUUCUACAUGCAAAUGAUGAUUAGUGUGAAUCAUGAUUAAUUAUAAUUAAUUACAGUCUCCAUCAAUCCUGAUUGGCUGAUAAAUUUGCUACUGACCGCAGAUUCAAAUAAAUGAAUA